AUGAAAAUCAUAAGCUAGAACUGCCGGGGACUCGGGAACAGACCGGCAGUUCGUUCUCUUCUCGAAUUGGGAAGAGUGGAGGAGCCCGAUAUUUUGUUUUUAUCAGAGACAAGGAUGACGGAGAAGGAGUUGGAGAAGUUCAGGUGGAAGUUAGUAUUAUCCAACAUGUCGGCUUGGAGUUCAGAAGGAAGAAGUAGGGGUAUAGCCAUGUUCUGGAAGCGCGGGGUAGAUGUCACUCUUAGAUCAUAUGGUAGAAGACAUGUAGAUGUGGAUGUGAAGGAAGAAGACGGCUCGAUGUGGAGGUUAACGGGUAUGUAUGGUGAAUCAGCAACCGACAGAAAGAAGGAGACAUGGAGAACCCUCAAAAUCCUCAAGCAACAACUUCAGCAGGGGAGGCCAUGGUUGUGCUUUGGGCGAUUUUAA
rnacentral:rRNA from 1 species